UACAGAGGUCUCAAGCGUUGUUCGGAUUCAUUGGGCGUAAAGAGCUCGUAGGCGGUGUGUCGCGUCGGCCGUGAAAACCUGGGGCUCAACUCUGGGCGUGCGGUCGAUACGGGCAUCACUGGAGUUCGGCAGGGGAGACUGGAAUUCCUGGUGUAGCGGUGAAAUGCGCAGAUAUCAGGAGGAACACCGGUGGGCGAAGGCGGGGUCUCUGGGCCGAUACUGACGUGGAGGAGCGAAAGCAUGGGUAGC
rnacentral:rRNA from 1 species